CACCUCGACUAGACUGGGCUCCGGCAUUACAGUUGGUGCCUCACCGAUGAGAAAAUGACCAGGCGUCAAGGCGGACAGAUCUUCUGGGUCGUCGGACAACGGGCAGAGGGGGCGCGAGUUCAGGACUCUAUUUAUAAGUUCCUGAAAACUGUCUACUCGCUGUUCCGUCGAAUCGAGGAGAUGGUGACAUAAUAAGGUUUCAGGACCACUUUGCCCUACAGUUGGAGAUGUUAGCUGGAGAGCAGGAGCGAGAACGGUGCAAGAAGUCUCUCCUUCAUCACGUUCAUUUUCAAAUUAAUAUCCACGUUGCAAGUGUUACAAAUCAGUGCGCUCAAUGUACAAUUGUACAAUUCAAGAUUAUAUCAUAUAUUACAGAAUAAUCUCAAACUGCUGAAUAUGAAUAAAAAUUGCGUGAUUAAAUCUA